GGGUUGUGAGGUUAAGCGACUAAGCGUACACGGUGGAUGCCCUGGCAGUCAGAGGCGAUGAAGGACGUGCUAAUCUGCGAAAAGCGUCGGUAAGGUGAUAUGAACCGUUAUAGCCGGCGAUGUCCGAAUGGGGAAACCCAGUGUGAUUCGUCACACUAUCGUUAACUGAAUACAUAGGUUAACGAGGCGAACCGGGGGAACUGAAACAUCUAAGUACCCCGAGGAAAAGAAAUCAACCGAGAUUCCCCCAGUAGCGGCGAGCGAACGGGGAGCAGCCCAGAGUCUGAAUCAGCUUGUGUGUUAGUGGAACGGUCUGGAAAGUCCGACGGUACAGGGUGAUAGUCCCGUACACCAAAAUGCACAGGUUGUGAACUCGAAGAGUAGGGCGGGACACGUGGUAUCCUGUCUGAAUAUGGGGGGACCAUCCUCCAAGGCUAAAUACUCCUGACUGACCGAUAGUGAACCAGUACCGUGAGGGAAAGGCGAAAAGAACCCCGGCGAGGGGAGUGAAAAAGAACCUGAAACCGUGUACGUACAAGCAGUGGGAGCACCUUCGGGUGUGACUGCGUACCUUUUGUAUAAUGGGUCAGCGACUUAUAUUCUGUAGCAAGGUUAACCGUAUAGGGGAGCCGCAGGGAAACCGAGUCUUAACUGGGCGUUAAGUUGCAGGGUAUAGACCCGAAACCCGGUGAUCUAGCCAUGGGCAGGUUGAAGGUUGGGUAACACUAACUGGAGGACCGAACCGACUAAUGUUGAAAAAUUAGCGGAUGACUUGUGGCUGGGGGUGAAAGGCCAAUCAAACCGGGAGAUAGCUGGUUCUCCCCGAAAGCUAUUUAGGUAGCGCCUCGUGAACUCAUCUUCGGGGGUAGAGCACUGUUUCGGCUAGGGGGUCAUCCCGACUUACCAACCCGAUGCAAACUACGAAUACCGAAGAAUGUUAUCACGGGAGACACACGGCGGGUGCUAACGUCCGUCGUGAAGAGGGAAACAACCCAGACCGCCAGCUAAGGUCCCAAAGUCACAGUUAAGUGGGAAACGAUGUGGGAAGGCACAGACAGCCAGGAUGUUGGCUUAGAAGCAGCCAUCAUUUAAAGAAAGCGUAAUAGCUCACUGGUCGAGUCGGCCUGCGCGGAAGAUGUAACGGGGCUAAACUGUGCACCGAAGCUGCGGCAGCGACACUAUGUGUUGUUGGGUAGGGGAGCGUUCUGUAAGCCUGCGAAGGUGGCCUGUGAGGGUUGCUGGAGGUAUCAGAAGUGCGAAUGCUGACAUAAGUAACGAUAAUGCGGGUGAAAAGCCCGCACGCCGGAAGACCAAGGGUUCCUGUCCAACGUUAAUCGGGGCAGGGUGAGUCGACCCCUAAGGCGAGGCCGAAAGGCGUAGUCGAUGGGAAACAGGUUAAUAUUCCUGUACUUGGUGUUACUGCGAAGGGGGGACGGAGAAGGCUAUGUUAGCCGGGCGACGGUUGUCCCGGUUUAAGCAUGUAGGCGGAGGUUCCAGGUAAAUCCGGUACCUUAUUAACGCUGAGGUGUGAUGACGAGGCACUACGGUGCUGAAGUAACAAAUGCCCUGCUUCCAGGAAAAGCCUCUAAGCAUCAGGUAACAUCAAAUCGUACCCCAAACCGACACAGGUGGUCAGGUAGAGAAUACCAAGGCGCUUGAGAGAACUCGGGUGAAGGAACUAGGCAAAAUGGUGCCGUAACUUCGGGAGAAGGCACGCUGAUAUGUAGGUGAAGUCCCUGCGGAUGGAGCUGAAAUCAGUCGAAGAUACCAGCUGGCUGCAACUGUUUAUUAAAAACACAGCACUGUGCAAACACGAAAGUGGACGUAUACGGUGUGACGCCUGCCCGGUGCCGGAAGGUUAAUUGAUGGGGUUAUCCGUAAGGAGAAGCUCUUGAUCGAAGCCCCGGUAAACGGCGGCCGUAACUAUAACGGUCCUAAGGUAGCGAAAUUCCUUGUCGGGUAAGUUCCGACCUGCACGAAUGGCGUAAUGAUGGCCAGGCUGUCUCCACCCGAGACUCAGUGAAAUUGAACUCGCUGUGAAGAUGCAGUGUACCCGCGGCAAGACGGAAAGACCCCGUGAACCUUUACUAUAGCUUGACACUGAACAUUGAGCCUUGAUGUGUAGGAUAGGUGGGAGGCUUUGAAGCGUGGACGCCAGUCUGCGUGGAGCCAACCUUGAAAUACCACCCUUUAAUGUUUGAUGUUCUAACGUUGGCCCCUAAUCGGGGUUGCGGACAGUGUCUGGUGGGUAGUUUGACUGGGGCGGUCUCCUCCCAAAGAGUAACGGAGGAGCACGAAGGUUAGCUAAUCCUGGUCGGACAUCAGGAGGUUAGUGCAAUGGCAUAAGCUAGCUUGACUGCGAGCGUGACGGCGCGAGCAGGUGCGAAAGCAGGUCAUAGUGAUCCGGUGGUUCUGAAUGGAAGGGCCAUCGCUCAACGGAUAAAAGGUACUCCGGGGAUAACAGGCUGAUACCGCCCAAGAGUUCAUAUCGACGGCGGUGUUUGGCACCUCGAUGUCGGCUCAUCACAUCCUGGGGCUGAAGUAGGUCCCAAGGGUAUGGCUGUUCGCCAUUUAAAGUGGUACGCGAGCUGGGUUUAGAACGUCGUGAGACAGUUCGGUCCCUAUCUGCCGUGGGCGCUGGAGAAUUGAGGGGGGCUGCUCCUAGUACGAGAGGACCGGAGUGGACGCAUCACUGGUGUUCGGGUUGUCAUGCCAAUGGCAUUGCCCGGUAGCUAAAUGCGGAAGAGAUAAGUGCUGAAAGCAUCUAAGCACGAAACUUGCCCCGAGAUGAGUUCUCCCUGAGACUUUAAGUCUCCUGAAGGAACGUUAAAGACGAUGACGUUGAUAGGUCGGGUGUGUAAGCGUAGCGAUACGUUGAGCUAACCGAUACUAAUGAACCGUGAGGCUUAACCUUACAACGCCGAAGCUGUU
rnacentral:rRNA from 1 species